AUUGAACGCUGGCGACAUGCCUUACACAUGCAAGUCGAACGGCAGCACGGGAGCAAUCCUGGUGGCGAGUGGCGAACGGGUGAGUAAUAUAUCGGAACGUGCCCAGUCGUGGGGGAUAACGUAGCGAAAGCUACGCUAAUACCGCAUACGAUCUACGGAUGAAAGCGGGGGAUCGCAAGACCUCGCGCGAUUGGAGCGGCCGAUAUCAGAUUAGGUAGUUGGUGAGGUAAAGGCUCACCAAGCCGACGAUCUGUAGCUGGUCUGAGAGGACGACCAGCCACACUGGGACUGAGACACGGCCCAGACUCCUACGGGAGGCAGCAGUGGGGAAUUUUGGACAAUGGGCGCAAGCCUGAUCCAGCAAUGCCGCGUGCAGGAUGAAGGCCUUCGGGUUGUAAACUGCUUUUGUACGGAACGAAACGGCGAGCUCUAAUACAGUUUGCUAAUGACGGUACCGUAAGAAUAAGCACCGGCUAACUACGUGCCAGCCGCCGCGGUAAAAC
rnacentral:rRNA from 1 species